CGUGUCCAAUUCAUUGGAUGGAACGUGUCCUGCUUCAUCAUCCGAUGGCUGUCCACCCACCGCCAUGACUUCUGUAAACGGAUUUAUUGUUGGGUCAGCAUCUUGCACCGGUACAGGUGGAGAAGAAGACGUCAAAAUCUUCAACAUUUUCGCACCACCACAAUCACUGGAAUGAAAUUCUACGUUUACCGAACGGUUGUGCGUCGCCACCGACUCGGCCGAAACCGGCUCCUUCCACUCACCCGGCCACCGCCUCUCUUCUGCUUCAUGAAGGUCACUGGCCAUACGCCUACAGCCGCAUCGAUCCAUAGCGGAAUCCGAUAAGCCCAAGGUUUCAAACAAUUUGUGUCAAAUAUGCCACCAUCUGGGCCUACAAAUGAAUUAGCAAACGAACCCUAAACCUUCACGUAAGAGAUAGACGAGAUGAUUUCCUGUGAUUACAACAUAACAUUUUAUAUCUUAAUCUGCUGCAAGUCAUUGUAAGCCACAAAUCUUGCAUUUUUCUUUGAAUUGUUCUGUAUUUAUUAUUUCCAUUUUCCACUCAUCAUGUGAAUUGCUAAAUGUUGCAGCUAAUCGGAGUCCAAUGUGCUGGUAAUGCUCACUUUUGGGUUAAUGCUAAUGGAUCUUAUCAAGAAGAGGGACAAAAAAACACCAGAUGAUAUAUAUGGGGAGAGGUGACACCUUUUUUAUAAAUAUGUUUCAUGUUUAUGUUUUCUAUUGUUUUCGAAUAUUUUUUUAAAUCCUAGACCAUUUUGACCAAAAUGCCCCUCAAAAGCUUCUUUUAAUUGGAUGUUGUGCUUACAAGAGGAGAAUGGAAUUGGAAAUGCUCCCCAGUGUUUCCAGUUAUUUCUUGGAGCAGGUAUGUAUAACAAAAACAACAAAAUUACAAAUUUAAUCCAUGGGACGAUGAUGUGUGGCCUUUUGUUAUGGAAUUUGUCAUGUGUUUUGUGUAGGAAGUUUCCUUCUUGGUUUCUCUAAUUGAAAUCAUUUUUUGUUAAAUCUGGGAUUUCAUAGCAAAAGUUUCGAGUUUGGACUUUCUCAGGCCCAGGCCCAGAUGGUGGCGUAAGGGCAUCAAUUUUGUUUUAUUACAUAAACAAACUGGUUGUAUACAUUAAAAUUUCACCAGUUUGUAUACAUGUAUGUAUCUAUCUACAAAAUGGAAAUAGGAUCCUUAGAAGAGAAAAAGUGUAUUUAUGUUAAAAUUUGACCAAAAAAAAGCACCUUAGUUUACUUGAUGGAUGCUUACUUUUAUGUUGUAUUGUUUUUUUAAAGGUUGAUAUAUAUUCAUUAUCAAGAAAGUGGAAAGAAUUAGUGGACAAGGCCAGGGCAAAACAGUUGCAACCUCAAGAGUUGAAAUCUGUGUACCCUUUCAUGUUAAACUGCUUUUGUUGUGUUCCCAAGUUUUGUUAUAAUGUUGUGGGUUAAGUAUAAGAAAUAUAGCAGCGUAUUUUUAAGUAUUUGUCAAAUAUUAUCCUUUUUAUGGUUUCAUCAAAAUAAAUCUUCUUGAAAAGUUGGUUGUAAGGAAUCUUCUUUAAUCUGUUGCAGGUACGUUUACUCUUUCCAACCUUGGAAUGUUUGGAGUGGAUCGCGUUGAUGCCAUCUUGCCACCAGGAACUGGUGCAAUCAUGGCUGUUGGGGCGUCUGAGCCCACUGUUGUCGCCACCAAGGAUGGUCGAAUCGGCAUGAAGAGCCAGAUGCAGGGAAAAAGGAAAGUGGUCAAGUCACCCAUGGAUAUUACUUUUAAGCACUUUAAGUCGGCAAAUGCAAAAACCAGAUGCCAGGAAAUGCAAAAACCAGAUGCGUACUUUUGAAAAUUUAUGUUUUUUAAUGUGUAUGCCUUUGCUAUGUAGUCUAUAUGAAUAACUUCCACAUAUUCAACAUUCAGCAAUGUACACAUUUAACAAAAAAACUAACACCAUUCCAACCCAUGCAAAAA